UACAGAGGUCUCAAGCGUUUGUUCGGAUUCAUUGGGCGUAAAGGGCGCGUAGGCGGCGCGGUAAGUCGGGUGUGAAAUCUUGGAGCUUAACUCCGAAACUGCAUUCGAUACUGCCGUGCUUGAGGACUGGAGAGGAGACUGGAAUUUACGGUGUAGCGGUGAAAUGCGUAGAUAUCGUAAGGAAGACCAGUGGCGAAGGCGGGUCUCUGGACAGUUCCUGACACUGAGACACGAAGGCCAGGGGGAGCAAACGGG
rnacentral:rRNA from 1 species